CCUACGGGCGGCUGCAGUGAGGAAUAUUGGUCAAUGGACGAGAGUCUGAACCAGCCAAGUAGCGUGAAGGAUGACUGCCCUAUGGGUUGUAAACUUCUUUUAUAAAGGAAUAAAACGAGGCACGUGUGCCUUUCUGCAUGUACUUUGUGAAUAAGGAUCGGCUAACUCCGUGCCAGCAGCCGCGGUAAUACGGAGGAUCCGAGCGUUAUCCGGAUUUAUUGGGCUUAAAGGGAGCGUAGAUGGGUUGUUAAGUCAGUUGUGAAAGUUUGCGGCUCAACCGUAAAAUUGCAAUUGAUACUGGCAGUCUUGAGUACAGUUGAGGUAGGCGGAAUUCGUGGUGUAGCGGUGAAAUGCUUAGAUAUCACGAAGAACCCCGAUUGCGAAGGCAGCUUACUAAACUGUGACUGACAUUGAUGCUCGAAAGUGUGGGUAUCAAACAGGAUUAGAUACCCCGGUAGUC
rnacentral:rRNA from 1 species